CUACUUCUAGGGUAUGUGAUUACCCACCACUAAAAUUCUCCAAGAUACCUUUUCUGAAUGAGGGACCCCUAAAGAAGAGGGUUACUUGAUGAACAAAACUAAUACCAAAUAUUUGCUUUUUAAUUGACUUGAAAAUGCUGCUACAGCAUGAGAUGUUAUCUCAAAAUUAAAAUAACUUCUUGGCUUUAUACUUGCCACAGAUACUCAGUGAAAUGAUCAGCAGCCGUCCUGGCUUUCAGCUCCACCAAGAUCAGAAGGCGUGUGGCUCUUUGGGCAGGGCUUGCUGCCUGAACAAGUCUUCCGCCUUCGUCUGGAAGAAUAGAUGUUGAAUUUAUUGCUUCUGGGUUUCUUUGCUUUCUUGGAAUAUCCUUUGGGAAUAAUUUUGGGGGUCCUAGCUGUUAACAUCUUUGAGGAUUACUUUUUCUGGCUGGAAAUUAAUAUUGCUUAUGAAACAGUGGUAUAAAAAGGGCAAAUGUGUCA